rnacentral:rRNA from 1 species
AACGAACGCUGGCGGCAUGCCUAACACAUGCAAGUCGAACGAGACCUUCGGGUCUAGUGGCGAACGGGUGCGUAACGCGUGGGAACCUGCCCUUAGGUUGGGAAUAACUCCCCGAAAGGGGUGCUAAUACCGGAUAAUUUCUGCGGACCAAAGAUUUAUCGCCAUUGGAUGGGCCCGCGUUGGUUUAGCUAGUUGGUAGGGUACAAGCCUACCAAGGCGACGAUCCAUAGCUGGUCUGAGAGGAUGAUCAGCCACACUGGGACUGAGACACGGCCCAGACUCCUACGGGAGGCAGCAGUAGGGAAUAUUGGACAAUGGGCGAAAGCCUGAUCCAGCAAUGCCGCGUGAGUGAUGAAGGCCUUAGGGUUGUAAAGCUCUUUUACCCGGGAUGAUAAUGACAGUACCGGGAGAAUAAGCUCCGGCUAACUCCGUG